AGACGGAGCAAGGGUUACAUCAAGGCUGCUCUCUGGACCGUGCAAACAGUCUAGACCAAUGACCUGCAGCAUCAUGCCCUUUGAAGAAGAGGCAAGUUCGGUCAUGAUGAAGAAGAAUCGAGGCGUACCCCCUUUUAACAAUAGGGAGCAGCUCGAGGCUGCAAAGAGGUACUGAUUAUUAAGGUGACUAUAUGAAAGGAUCACUCCAAAAUAACAGGAAUCUUGAGGAACCCAUUAAUGUAAAGCUGCGGCCAGAGUUCCAUGAGGAGGCAGAAUGUUCUAGAUGAUCCCUGUCUCUUCUCCAUUGAGGAAGUCGUUUCUUGCCUCUCUGUAAGCUCAGUUAAUCAUACCAGAAUAGGAGUCCUGUCUUAACUGAGCAAUAUACACUAUGGAGAGAUCCUUCAAAACCCGUCGGGACGAAUAACAGAUGAAUUCAUAAAACUGUUCAUCUCUGUUAUCCUGAAUGGUCACUCAGACAACAUUUUACUCAACUAUAAAGGGGAACACUUAAAGUGCAUAUGAGAAGAGAAGAGAAUGACCACAGGAGAAAAUCAUCUCAGGCCACGAUUUCCUAACCAGAAUCUGUAAGAGAGAUUCCAAGAACUUGGGAGAAGCAUAUUGUGUGAUGUUCUAUAUUUAUGAGACCCAUAGCAAACUGUGAAGAGAUAACAGAAUGCUUUUUGCGUGAGCUGAAACAGUAGAUGAAAUCUUUCAUUAAAAUUACUCAUACUUUGGGUCCUAUUCUUAUUUAUAAAUAAAUAUUAUUGCAAACAUUUUU
rnacentral:lncRNA from 1 species